AAACUAGAACAUAUCAGAGAUGACCAUUCAUCGGAAAUGUGUAUUCCUUUUGAGGAAAGAAGUUUGAAGGUGAUUGUGUUAAAGGCAACCGGACAAGCAAUCAAAAAAGUUGUAGCUGCUAUUGGAAUUAUCAAGGAAAAGAAGAAAGGAAAAGAAGACGAAUGAAGCUCGGGAUGAUGAUUUGUAUUGUCUUUUUUUUUUUUUUUUUUUUGCUUUGGAUGUCUUGUUAGAUUUGUUGUUUGGAUUAUGACUUGUUGACCUUUGUAUUUUGCAUAUUAUAUGACUUGUUGUUUGGAUAUUGUUUAUUUGUGUAUGAAUAUGAUGUGUUUAAUUU